ACUUCCCGCCUCAGUGCGAGGGGCGCGGGCGGGAGUGGGGACGGUCCCCUCAGAGAAUGGUGGGCGUGAUGUUGGUGGCGCUCUCCGUGAGGCAGGGACGGGACAGCGAGGGGUGGUGGGAGCCGGGCGUCCCCUUAGCGGGGACAGUCCACGGGGCCGGGCACCGAGGUUCCCGGGCUGCCCCCGCCACCGCCCUCCCCACCGGCUGACAUUUGCCAUGCGCAGACAAUACGCACUUUACCAAACAAUUCAGCCCGAGCCCCGCUGCAAACUCGCUGCGUUAUUUUUCUCCUCGUUCUCCGCUUGUUUAUGGCUGACGCUAUCUCGCCUGCACCGCUCCCUCGGUUUCAUUAUCUCUUGUCGCAGACGGACCGUGGCUUUCCUUCCUCACAGGGCUUCUCUCUGCUGGUGCUACAGCUCCCUCUCCUCUCCCCAGCUCUGCAUCCUUCACCCUUGCUCACAGGUGAGCCUUUUCCAGCGAAGCACUUCACUCCAGCUGUCCUUCCUCCUGCAGUCCCGUCUCCUCUAAAGACCUCACCAUCCCGUAAAAUAAAGCCAAUGGCGCUAAUGUAAUAAUGCUGAUAUUGUGGCCAGCGGGACCAGGGCAGUGACCAUCCCCUGUGCUGGGGCACCUCCAAUCCGAGGGAUGCUGAAUUUAUUUAAUCUGCAGGAUUAAAGUAGUGCAACAGCUUCCAGGGAUUCAAAUGCAUGGUGGGAAAAGGAGAAAAGUUUUUUACCUCAUUGGCAGAGAAUUUAAGGAUGGGUGUAACAGCCAGCGUGUCCCUCUAAGGCAGCACCUGAGAGGGUCAUGUGUGUGACAUCCUUUAAGGAAGAUGCUUCCUCUGGAUCACUUUCUUAGCAACCACAAUGAGCCAUCCUGGUAGAGCUGGGAGCCUCCAUGCAGUCUGGAUCUUGAGUCCUGUGUUCAUUCUGGGCUUGGUUGUGCUGGUUCCCUGCGGAGAACUCUGACCACCCUUCCAAGAUACUCCAUGACUGGUUUCUUUUCUCAGAGACUGAGUUUGAGGAUAUAUUUCACAGAGCAAUAGCUAUGCAAAUGCAAAUCCUCCUUGUAGAGUUCUUUUAACUUCAAGCCACUAAAUAUACCCAUUUGGUCUGUGGAACUGAAUUUACUUCCCCUCUCAGAGGAACAAGCUUUGUCAGCUGUAAUGAUGAGCUGUUGUUUGACGUUCAUAAUAUUGUACUUCACUGCUUAUCUGAUGGAGCCAUGCAAAGCUAUUUGGGGGGUUCUGAAAUGUGACAGCCCACAUGAUGCUUUUUUAGACUUCACAAACCGCCUUCACGAGGCAGGAGAAUAUGACAUGGGAACGGCUGGCUGGAACAACGGCGUGCCUUAAUGCCAGCGGGCUUGCUGUAGCUGGGGAGGAGGAAUGCUCUUUGGAAGUUUGCAGCUUUUGUUGUGUGCUGUCAAAGGAAGAACUUAGAGCCUGAAAGAACAUCAUGGAUGCCAUAGGUGGGGACUGUGGGGAUUAUUGAUCCUGUCUGGAAACAGCAUAAUGAUGGAGGCAAAUAUGUUAAACCUGUUUGGAUCAUCCACGGACAGAAGGGGACUCAAGGGAGACAGCUCAGAUACCCCAUUUCAUGCUGUCUUGCCAUAAUGAACAAAAAUAUCUCACUUUCUGACAAACUUCUGUAUCUUCAUCCUUGCUGACAUGUGGAGUAUUCGUUGCAGGCUUAGUUAUGAAUCCUGGAAGCCUCCAGGUGAAAGAACUCAUUUAGGAAAACAAAAACUCAACAAAUCUUCUGGCUCCUCUUCACAGACUAACAGCUGAAGAGCACACGGGUUACCUGUGACAGCUGUUCCAUAUGAACCCACUGAAGCUGACUAAAUGAGUGGUGCAUUCUCGCUUCCCUGCAGUGGCCAGGCUUUAAAGACCUGAUGGGGACUCUGGCCACACAAUGACCUGGCAGUCAUGGCUGUAUGUGACUGUCACUCCCACCUGCCUCUCCUGGCAUUCCCUGAACUUUAACCACAGCUUCUGGCUGCAUCACAGUCCUGUAGGUCACUGGGGAAAGGCAGAAGAGGUUGUCCCUUCAAGUCCUGCCACCACGGUUCCUCUCAGUGUCCUCUGGCUCAGGCUGACCCAUCACCAUCUGCCCCAUGUCCCACCUCUGACAUCCUGCCUCAUCCUUUUCCUGUGAAGAACCACAGCUGGAGUAAAACAGGGGGACAAUGCCAUGGGAAAACCCUUUCCUGGGAUGCAAUAACCCCCCAGCCUGUUCAUCUUUGUCAUGUGAUUGUGCUUGUCAGCACAGCUCUGCUGCAGAGCUCGGGCUGUGCCGGGCCCUGCAGGGUUGGAGGCUGGGCUGGCUCUCCUGGAGCAUUUGGCUGAGUCUGUCACCAGUGACUGAAGCAGGAGCAGGUUUCAGCUGCUGAAAAUCCCAUCCAGAUCUGCUGCAAAGUGGAAAUCAUUUGUUAAAUGCUUUCUAUUGGGACAGUAGCACUCCUUCCUCUUGCAGAAGCAUUUGGAUUUCUGCCCAUGGAGAGGACCAAAGAGAGCAUCAGGAUCCAACUAGGUGGUGACAGCGGGGAUGGAGACCCCAUGGAGCAGGUUCUGGGUGCCACAGGAUGCCGUGGCCGAUUUGCAUCCAGGUCUGUGCGGGAAGGAGAGGCAUGGCCGAACAUCACAGUGUCCCUUCCAUCCCUGCACGGGGAUGGACAGAACAGCAACGACCUGACAGCAAAACGGGUCCUCCAGGAGGACGGUGAGAAGGGACAGAUGGGCACAGGUGGCCCUGGAGGGACGCUCUCCCCCUCCAGCAGAAAUCGGAGCCCUGAGCGUGGGGCCGGCGGUGGCAGGGCUGCGGGGAUGGCUUUUCACACGCCCCCUUCCCCUUCCCAGAUUCCAAUCCCUGCUUCCCUGGGGGUAUAAUCCACUGGCUCCUGCAAGUCCUGUGCUCCCUGUAUCCUCCCAGGGCGGGUCUUGUCAGGACCUUGUAUCCUAAAUAUCUAAACCUGCCUUUAUUCUGGCCAAGCCCUUUAAAACCUCACAGAAAUUGACUGGACACAAAGAAGCUGUCAGGGAGUUCCUGGGAUUUUCCAGUUGGACCUGUUGCAGACCCCACCAUUCCUGUGAGACCCAUUUUCAUGGUGAUGUCCCUUCCCUCCAGGCUCUGUGGGGUCCCCAUGGCCUUUGCUCAGGGCCAUCCCCCCAGUGCUCCUCCAGCUCGUGGCCCUUCCAGCCCAGGACUCAGAGCAGGGGGGAGCCCGGCUCCAGCUCCAGCUUGGGGUCAGCUGGGCCAACAUCUUCAGAGGGAAGUGUCCCACAAGGGUUCAAGCAGCCCAGAGGACACAAGCACAAGGAUGGGACUGAGGAUGGGGUUGGCUCUCCAGACCCUUGUGCACCCCAAAACUCAGGAUGCUCAGAUACAUCAUCACAUCCCAGAAGCUUCAUGAUCCCAAAACACCAGCAUGUAACAAAUAUAUUCCUGGUUUUCAAUGCAGACAGAAGUCUAGGAAACGGUUUUGUCAAACUAACUUGACCUCAUUUGUAGAGAAAAUUUUAAGUUUAAUUAAAAAAAGUUAUGAAG